AGUAUAGACUGUUUGUGUGGGAUAGCGUUGGGAGCAAACAGGGAUUGGAUACCCUGGUAUUCCGUGCUGUUAAAGGAUUUCGAUUUGGAGGUUGUACCCUUGAGGGCUUGGCUUCCGGAGGAUAACGCGUAAAAUCGACCACUGGGGGAGUACGGCCGCAAGGUUAAAACUCAAAUGAAAUUGACGGGGGCACGCACAAGCGCUGGAGCAUGUGGUUUAAUUAGAUGCAACGCGAAGAGCCUUACCUAUUCUUGACAUCCAGAGAACUUAGCAGAGAUGCGUUGGUUCCUUCGGGAGCUAUGAGACAGGUGCUGCAUGGCUGUCGUCAGCUCGUGUUGUGUAAUGUUGGGUUAUGUACCGCAACGAGCGCAUCCCUUAUCCUGUGUUACCAGCGGUUCGGCCGGGAACUCAAAGGAGACUGCCAGUGAUUAACUGGAGGAAGGUGGGGAUGACGUCAAGUCAUCAUGGCCCGUGGGAGUAGGUGCUACACACGUGCUACAAUGGUGUAUACAAAGAGAAGCGACCUCGCGAGAGCAAGCGGACCUCAUAAAGUACGUCGUAGUCCGGAUUGGAGUCUGCAACUCGACUCCAUGAAGUCGGAAUCGCUAGUAAUCGUAGAUCAGAAUGCUGCGGUGAAUACGUUCCCGGGCGUUGUACACACCGCCCGUCACACCAUGGGAGUGGGUUGCAAAAGAAGUAGGUAGCUUAACCUUCGGGAGGGCGCUUACCACUUUGUGAUUCAUGACUGAGGUGAAGUCGUAACAAGGUAACCGUAAAUCGAAUUCC
rnacentral:rRNA from 1 species